UACAUCCGAUGUAGCUUGGAGAUGGUGAAUAUUCAAUAAGAAAACAUAUUGUUAUCUAAUGGUGUUUUCCUCAUCUAUGAAGCAGGUCAUACCAAGAGAACAACAGACAGAGGAAAUGAAAAAGGAGAGGAAUCGUUGACAUUUCAACAUUCUGUAUAAUCUUUGAAGAUCAAAUUAGAAGCUUAAUGUACUGUACCACGACAUGUCUAAUGCCUCUACUAUGUGAUGACCCUUCAUUACUUGAACAUACUACCAUGUGUGAUCAAAGGAUUAUCUUCUCCUGGCUAAACAUCCCUAGUCCUUUCAACUAGUCCUCAUGUGACGUGCUAUGGCGGUCCUUCACCAUCCUGUUUACUCUCUUCCGGAUGCUCUUCAGCAUAACAAUAUCCUUUCUAGAAUGUGGUGCUUGGAACCACUCACACUACAGGGCUCGGGUUGGUCCAUUAAGAACACUGCAAACAUUGGUUGCAUUGGUUUUAGACCCAUCAAAUAAACACAUCAAUUAUGAUUGUUGAGAUGCCAGAGAAUCAGAUUACUUAACAAGGACUAAAAAAUGGUUCCUGAGAACAAGUGCAUUAACUCCCAAGUACUUUUUUAUAUUCCA